AUAGGAGUCUCCUGGGGAUCUUGUUGAAUUGCAGAUUCAGAUUCAACAGGUCGGGGUGGGGCCUGAGAUGCUGCACUUCUAACAGGCUUCCUGGAAAUGCCCAC
rnacentral:pre_miRNA from 1 species